rnacentral:rRNA from 1 species
GGGACGGCGAUGGGAGCUUGCUCCCUGAGUCUACGCGGCGGACGGGUGAGUAACACGUGGGCAACCUGCCUGUAAGACUGGGAUAACUCCGGGAAACCGGGGCUAAUACCGGAUAACUCUUUCCCUCACAUGAGGGAAAGCUGAAAGAUGGCAUCUCGCUAUCACUUACAGAUGGGCCCGCGGCGCAUUAGCUAGUUGGUGAGGUAACGGCUCACCAAGGCGACGAUGCGUAGCCGACCUGAGAGGGUGAUCGGCCACACUGGGACUGAGACACGGCCCAGACUCCUACGGGAGGCAGCAGUAGGGAAUCUUCCGCAAUGGACGAAAGUCUGACGGAGCAACGCCGCGUGAGUGAUGAAGGUUUUCGGAUCGUAAAACUCUGUUGUCAGGGAAGAACAAGUACCGGAGUAACUGCCGGUACCUUGACGGUACCUGACCAGAAAGCCACGGCUAACUACGUGCCAGCAGCCGCGGUAAUACGUAGGUGGCAAGCGUUGUCCGGAAUUAUUGGGCGUAAAGCGCGCGCAGGCGGUUCUUUAAGUCUGAUGUGAAAGCCCCCGGCUCAACCGGGGAGGGUCAUUGGAAACUGGGGAACUUGAGUGCAGAAGAGAAGAGUGGAACUCCACGUGUAGCCGGUGAAAUGCGUAAGAUGUGGCAGGAACACCAGGUGUCGAAUGCACUCUUUGGUCUGUAACUGAUGCUGAGCACUACAGCCUUGGGAUCCAGCAUUAUUAAAUACCAUGGUCUCGACGCCCUCAACGAUGAGUGCGUGAGUGUUAGAGUGUUACUUCACUAUAACGUGCUGCGAGCAGACGUUAUUAACCACUAC